rnacentral:tRNA from 1 species
UGUAGCUCAGUUGGUAGAGAGCUUCCCUAGUAAGGAUGAGGUCCUGGGUUCGAUCUUGACCCCAGCA